AAGCCUCAUGGGCUCAGAGUAGUGAGGCCUAACAUGUUUGAGGGAAAAGUGUAUGGGACCAAGUUGAACUCUCAAUUUGUUCAAGCCUUACUAUCUAAACUCUCUAUACCUCUCAAACAUCCUCUGGUCACCGGAAAUCGCUCACCGGAGGCAGAGGAGCAACCUAAAUUGGACCAUAAUCACCACCAAACAUAUUAUGUUGCCCUUCUCUCUCUAAAUCUCAUGCUAAUCCAAUCCACAAUUCAGUGGAUUCUCCAAAUCCCAAACAUAAACCAAGAACCCUAGGUUAAAGAAAAUUAAAUUAAAUGGAGUUGGGGAGGAAUCAGAGCCCGAUAUGUUAGGGCUUUAAUGAAGAAAAAGAGGAGCUCGCCUAGGAGGAGGAAAAUGGACCCGACGUUGUAGGAAUUGAAGAAGACAAAGCUGAAAACUGAGGAGGAUCAAGGAUACUCAGGGAUGGUGGGCUUAUGAUAUUUGGUAUGGGAUGGAAAGGUUUAAAGACAUGGCUUAAGCAUGGUGGUGGCAAAGUUUGAAGACAUUAACCAAAAAUUGCAUGGAACCAAAUGGAUCAUGAAGGAAAAUCAUGGCAUGAUUGAAGAACAUCUUGAAAAGGAAAUACCAAAAUGGAUUUAGGGUUGACCAAAAAGUCAAUAGUUGACUAAAGUUAAUCGAUCAUGGUUGACCAAGUAAAACCUACCAUGCACAAUCAAUUCCAAUGCUAUUAUGUAAUUAACUUGACUCUUAAUUGCCAAAGGUCAUGCAAUUAGGUUUCUACAACUUUAAGUUCAAGAGAAUUGGUCAUCAUUAGUCAA